AGUAUACUUAAUGGAGAAGGUGCAGACUCAGAUCGCCUGGGUUUGCUUAAAAGGGAAGUCCGGUUCAAAAUCCGGCGCGGUCCCGCCACUGUAGAUGCGGAGCGACUUUUCAAAGGCCACUGUUCCUAUAAAGGAUUCGGGAAGGCGGAAAGAAGCGAUGAGGCAUGAGCCAGGAAACCUGCCUUCUUCAAGGUGUUCCC
rnacentral:ncRNA from 2 species